rnacentral:rRNA from 1 species
CCAAACCCCUGUGAACAUACCUAUCGUUGCUUCGGCGGAUCCGCCCCGGUGCCUUCGGGCCCGGACUCAGGCGCCCGCCGGGGGACCCAAACUCUUGUAUUUCUUUAGUAUCUUCUGAGUAAACAAGCAAAUAAAUUAAAACUUUCAACAACGGAUCUCUUGGUUCUGGCAUCGAUGAAGAACGCAGCGAAAUGCGAUAAGUAAUGUGAAUUGCAGAAUUCCGUGAAUCAUCGAAUCUUUGAACGCACAUUGCGCCCGCCAGUAUUCUGGCGGGCAUGCCUGUUCGAGCGUCAUUUCAACCCUCAAGCCCCCGGGCUUGGUGUUGGGGCUCGGCCCGUCCCUAGCGGCGCGCCGUCCCCGAAAUCUAGUGGCGGUCACGCUGUACUCCUCUGCGUAGUAAUCUAACCUCGCAACGGGACAAAGCGCGGCCACGCCGUUAAACCCCCAACUUCUGAAGGUUGACCUCGGAUCAGG